UCUGUCUUAAAAGUUCGGGGCUUAACCCCGUGAUGGGAUGGAAACUGCCAAUCUAGAGUAUCGGAGAGGAAAGUGGAAUUCCUAGUGUAGCGGUGAAAUGCGUAGAUAUUAGGAAGAACACCAGUGGCGAAGGCGACUUUCUGGACGAAAACUGACGCUGAGGCGCGAAAGCCAGGGGAGCGAACGGGAUUAGAUACCCCGGUAGUCCUGGCCGUAAACGAUGGGUACUAGGUGUAGGAGGUAUCGACCCCUUCUGUGCCGGAGUUAACGCAAUAAGUACCCCGCCUGGGGAGUACGACCGCAAGGUUGAAACUCAAAGGAAUUGACGGGGGCCCGCACAAGCGGUGGAGUAUGUGGUUUAAUUCGACGCAACGCGAAGAACCUUACCAGGUCUUGACAUUGAUGGACAGAACCAGAGAUGGUUCCUCUUCUUCGGAAGCCAGAAAACAGGUGGUGCACGGUUGUCGUCAGCUCGUGUCGUGAG
rnacentral:rRNA from 1 species